rnacentral:rRNA from 1 species
GACGAACGCUGGCGGCGUGCUUAACACAUGCAAGUCGAACGAGAAUCUAUGGAAAGAGGAUUCGUCCAAUUGAAAUAGAGGACAGUGGCGGACGGGUGAGUAACGCGUGAGGAACCUGCCUUUCAGGAGGGGGACAACAGUUGGAAACGACUGCUAAUACCGCAUAACGCAUAGAGGUCGCAUGGUCUUUAUGACCAAAGUAUUUAUCGCUAGAAAGAUGGCCUCGCGUCUGAUUAGCUAGUUGGUGAGGUAACGGCCCACCAAGGCGACGAUCAGUAGCCGGACUGAGAGGUUGAACGGCCACAUUGGGACUGAGAUA